GACGAACGCUGGCGGCGUAGCUUAACACAUGCAAGUCGAGCGGUAAGGCCCUUUCGGGGGUACACGAGCGGCGAAACGGGUGAGUAACACGUGGGUGACCUGCCCUCAGCUCUGGGAUAAAGCCUGGGAAACUGGGUCUAAUACUGGGAUAUGACUCCACGGUGCAUGUCGUGGGGGUGGAAAGCCUUGUGCGGCUGAGGAGUGGGCCCGCGGCCUAUCAGCUUGUUGGUGGGG
rnacentral:rRNA from 1 species